GGCUGAACGCGUGCACCGUGGCCAAAUGGAUGGACAGGCUGACCAGCAAGUGUCACACCCUGCAGUUCACCUCCGUCCCGCCACGAUUCAACGGGAUUGUGGAAACAAAGCUGUCAUCCAAGGAUCAAAAUGUCCCCCCCCCCCCAAUAAAUCGCUGGGAAUAGGAAUAUAGCAUUUCAAUAUUAUAGAACACUUACGGUUUCCCUGAAGUACACUCCGUUCCCUGAAUGCAUCUCUGCAAAGUGCACACCCUGAAUGACUCAAUCUGAUUCCAUUUACAGCCCUUACAGCCAAUAGGAAUAUGGCUGUUCGGGCUAGCUAGCCAAUGGGAUAGAUCCACGAUUCGUCCCCGCAUGCACGGCUCAGUGAUGGCUACUUGUCAGUUGUCACUUGAUUGCAUUGGUCAUCAACCGUCUUUUAGGUAUGACCACGACAUCAAUGACAUCAACAACAGCAGCAGUGUUACGGUCGUAAACACAGUGCUCUGUGGAUCUCCACUUCCAGCCUGCCUGCUUCACUCUCCAGCCUGAAGCACCCGCAAUCACCUCCAACCCAUGCUUCAUCCCUAAUCACCUUUUUUUGUUAGGGUAAAGGUACCAUUAAGCCUAUUCCUCUACUAUCUUAGGAUUGGUGCUGUGAUUUCUUCUUUUUGUAGUAAUUAUCUUACUGCGAACAAAUUAGCUUAAUCUAUUAUACCAAAAAAAAUGUAAUACUUUGGACAGUGUAUAAUCUGUAUGUAACCCCAUGUAACCAAUGUCUUAAAAUGAACAGCCUGGCAUUUCAUCACAGUGAGAAUUGGUCUGACAACAUGGACUUCCUAUUGAAAAACAUGAGGUGGGCUUUAAUGGAACAUAGUCGGCUUAUGGUUCCAUAGUUAUUUCUGGUGAAAAAAAGAUGAUUCAUUACCUUUCAAAUGAAAUAAAUUUAUAUAAAAGUUUGCAUGGAGCCUAAAUAACCUGUCGACUAAGCAUUAUAGUAAUUGUUAUUUAUUCAACGUUUAGAAUUAUCAAGUCAAGUCUCAUUCAAAGUUACAAAACAUUUUAUAAUGUAUGUAUUCAUUCAUUCAUCUAUUACUAAUCAGAAAACAUUUAGGUUAUGUCCUUGACAUGUCUAAUUCUUUAGCAGUGCAUCACCGAACACGGCUAAUGGUUUCACCAUGAGAUCAGCUCAGUGCGCUCUCUCAUGAAACUCCUCUAUGUACUUAGUAGGUCCAUGAGAUUGAUGCACUUGGGUGGGUUUUACUCAACAUUGGCAAAUGUGAUGGGUAUGCAAUAAAAAAUAUUAUGGAAAUAAGAACUUGCUGGAUUUUGUGUCCUUGUUGUGAUGGUGCAGGUGUUUCUUUGUGUGUGUGUUGUAAAAAAGCCAAAACGUCAUUGAAUAUAUUGUGAAAAAAAUGACUGGAUUGGUUGAAAUAUUGAGUAGCACAAAAUGUUUUAUUUAAUUUAAAAAGUAAAGGAAAACAGAGCUCUGAAUUAUAUGUGUCAACUUUUUCCUAAUUUCAAGUCUUCCACACUCCCAGACUGCUUGGUCACAUCACAUAUUAAAGUGUUUUAAACAUCCAUCGCUAAAAAAGGCUUCAAAAUGAGGUGCUAGGUAUUGAGAUUUUGCUCUCAGAGUGCCCCAGAUGAAUGUAUGUUCAAAACAUUUGUCCCCCCCAAUGUUGAUACCAUGGCUACACCCUUGGACGCAUUAUACAGGAUCUGAAAAACACAGAAUUCCUGGCAGUGCAGGCCGAUGAAAUGACUGAUGUUUGAACCCAUUGCCAAAUCGUUUAUGCGUCUAGUUAUAUAGAUGAAGCCAACACAUUGCAGGAGAGAUUCUUUAGUUUUCAAACAAAUUGAUGGAGGCACGACCGCAGAGGCCAUCUCUAAUGUACUUCUGCAACAGUUGGGUGUCGUUUGUUCAGCGGAGAAUGAGGUGGACAGAGACAGACUGAUGGCACAUAUGAUGAAGCAAGUGUGAUGCGAGGAGAAACAGGUGGAGUGAGGAGGAAGUUUCAAGACAUUUAUCCCAAUGCCCAAUUUAUAGGUUACACACACCAACUGAAUUUGGUUAUGCAACAGGCCGUUUCCUCAAUUACGCCAGUGCGUGGCUUUUUCUCCGACAUCAGCGGCUUUUCUUCUUUUUUUCACGUUCCCCAAAGAGAACUGCCACUUUGGACUGCAUUGUAGCAAGGAGGUAGCCACGGGCACCGCAGACACGCUGGAACUUUCAUAGUCGUGCAAAACACACCUGGAGGGAGUGCUGGUUUUCCCUUGAGCAGGAGAAGAUGAUUCGGCGUCAGUGGCUCGAGGUCGUCCACAUCAUCAGAUGACUUGAUACCACCGUGGUGCGACCCGGCAGGCGGGUUGAAGAUUCAAGUGAGCCUCAGAGAUCUGGGACUGGUUCCAUUCUUUCAUCGCCCGGCGGAUCUCGUGUUCUGUAGCUACCAGGUUUCACCUGAACAACCCCUCUGCUGGCCGAGAAAAGGAACUACCAAUGGUUUCUCCCACACCCAGCCCCAGGAGCACACGCGCUCUCAAGGCGUUAUGGCCGCACCCAACGUGGGAGGGAGACACGCAGAGAGAGAGAGAAGCCACAUUCCACCCUUAUCCGUUGUCUUGCACCAAACAGCACCCCGUACUGAGGAGGGAGAGAGAGUGUGUUCUCCUGAAGGAGGGAGAGAGUCACAGGGAGACACACAGUGAAUAUUCACAUUAUGGCUAAUUUGUUUUAGUUUUAGUUUUGUUUUUUGUCUUCCUAGGACAACAGUUAUCAUUCAUGAUGAUGAACAUCGAAGUUCAUGAGGAGGUUAUAAGGACAAUAACGUUGAUACUUUAGGACAACAGUGAUGCUAAUCUAAUGCAAUUGGACUAAAGAAGGUGUUGCUAUUAACUAAGUGAUUAAUAUUAUUUUCACACAGGAAAGAAUAAUUGAAUAAAUAUGGAUAUGAUAAAGAUGAGAAUAAUAAUAAAAAAAUAAAACGUAAUAUUGAUAAACUGUACAAGUAGGACAACACCUAUUAAAAUAUGGGGUAAAUCUCUUUGGUCAAGGAUGACAGGUGGAUUAGCGCUACAUCUGCUGGGAAGGGAUCCUACAUGCUAUGUUGUCAAUUUGGAUUCGGAAGUAGUGGGUUUACCUUUCAAAUGCCACUACUGCUGCUGCAACACUUUAAUAAUUUUAACUC
ensembl:lncRNA